rnacentral:tRNA from 1 species
GAGAAAGAAAUGCAAGAACUGCUAAUUCAUGCCUCCAUGUGUAACAUCAUGGCUUUCUUA